rnacentral:rRNA from 1 species
GACGAACGCUGGCGGCGGGCUUAACACAUGCAAGUCGAACGGAAAGGCCCUGCUUUUGUGGGGUGCUCGAGUGGCGAACGGGUGAGUAACACGUGAGUAACCUGCCCUUGACUUUGGGAUAACUUCAGGAAACUGGGGCUAAUACCGGAUAGGAGCUCCUGCUGCAUGGUGGGGGUUGGAAAGUUUCGGCGGUUGGGGAUGGACUCGCGGCUUAUCAGCUUGUUGGUGGGGUAGUGGCUUACCAAGGCUUUGACGGGUAGCCGGCCUGAGAGGGUGACCGGCCACAUUGGGACUGAGAUACGGCCCAGACUCCUACGGGAGGCAGCAGUGGGGAAUAUUGCACAAUGGGCGGAAGCCUGAGGCAGCAACGCCGCGUGCGGGAUGACGGCCUUCGGGUUGUAAACCGCUUUCGCCUGUGACGAAGCGUGAGUGACGGUAAUGGGUAAAGAAGCACCGGCUAACUACGUG